rnacentral:rRNA from 1 species
GACGAACGCUGGCGGCGUGCCUAACACAUGCAAGUCGAGCGGGAACCUCAGGAGGGGUAACCCCCCUGAGGGGAGAGCGGCGAACGGGUGAGUAACACGUGGGCAACCUGCCCCGGACACCGGGAUAACCCAGGGAAACCUGAGCUAAUACCGGAUACUCCGGCGAGAUCGCAUGGUCGCGCCGGGAAAGCUCCGACGGUCCGGGAUGGGCCCGCGGCCUAUCAGCUUGUUGGUGGGGUAACGGCCCACCAAGGCGACGACGGGUAGCUGGUCUGAGAGGAGGGCCAGCCACACUGGGGCUGAGACACGGCCCAGACUCCUACGGGAGGCAGCAGUGGGGGAUCUGGCGCUAAUGCGCGAAAGCGUGACUCAGCGACGCCGCGUGGGGGACGAAGGCCCUCGGGUUGUAAACCCCUUUCGGCAGGGACGAAGCGAAAGUGACGGUACCUGCAGAAGAAGUCCCGGCUAACUACGUGCCAGCCGCCGCAGUAAGAC